AAGACUUUUCGCUAGCAGUCUGUUCCGCGAGCAGCAUGAGCUACAGUGGCUAUCCCUCGUCCUCCCAAACGAAAAAGGGAACGUCAGCGCCUCCAAAAAAUUUGGAGCUACAGUGGCUUAAGAGAGAAUUUGUACCCAUAUGACGCGAGCAUUCAACAUAAAUUGGAGGCAGCAUACAAAUCCAAGCAAAAAAAGAUGUCAUUUGACGUAAAAAAAUUAAAAAUACAUGAUCGAUUUUGAGCGCAUGCUGCAAAUAAAUCAAAGGGACACUUCAAAAGUUAGAAGAGUGACUCGCGAAAAGGUUAAGAAUAGAAAGACAACACCUUAGCAGCUGACAAAUAAAGCAAGUUGCUCUUCAAAAAUCUAAUUCAACUAGAUUGCCUGUACCACCGACCCAGAAAGUAGAAGCAAAGCCAGCGAACAAAUCACCGUCACCUUCAACGACGACGUCAAUGACAAGCGCACCGAUAAUUCCAGUUUCACCGGCCAAAAAAAACGCCGCAGCAAAAGUGGCAAUGUUUAAAUAAUAAAGGAAGUAGGCAUUUAAUAGAGAAGAACCUUUUUGCAUUAUGAUGCGUUGGUUUGUAAAAAAAAUAAUUCAACUGAUUUAUUAACAGCCAAUUAAUAUAAAAGAACAUAAAUAUCAAAGAAAGGUUUAAACGGAUUACUAAUAUACUUUAAAAAGCAAUUUCUGGCCGCACUAAACUAAGAAACAAAAAGAAAUAGCUGUGUUGUUUGCUAAAUAAAUUAGUUUAACGUUCGUGUUAUUUCUAGUAAUUUUGGUUGGUUAAUUUUUGCGUCCUAGAUUGGCAGAAAUUCGAGGAUAACCUGCAAGAGCUACUUGAAAGCAGAUUUCAAUACAGUAUUGAAAGAUGCACAUUCUCUCGAGAUGGGAUAUUGUACGACAUAAACUUCAGCCCUGCCGCCCUUUCUGACUUUGCUAAAAGCAAGAUCAAGAGUUUGAUCGCCUCCGUUAGUUCUCAAUCAAUUAAAGAAGCUGAGCUCGCCACGACACCUGGAAACACGCUUGAUUUGCCGAAUGAUGUGCCGCAUGUCUGGUAUUUUAUUGAUGAUGACGGAGUAUACAGAGGAGAACCAAGAGAAGCUGGAAUCUUGUAGAUCAUCUGGAUAUUUAUUUGCUGCCAUUUUCAUCGGUUCUGAUUGUUUAUCAGUCGAUAUGAAAGAAAUGAAGCAAACGAAGUAUGGUGACCAAACAUAUUCUCCAAAAUUAGUUAUUCGAGAGCCAAAAAAGUUGACUGAUAGAAAUCUACAUUCAACGAAAACUCUAGUUGGCGAGACGCCCCAACCCUCGUAAGUUUGGUAUUAUGAGGACGCUUACGGAGCUAAAACAUAAUCAAAUGCAACUGGAACGCUGUUACAUCGAAGGAAAAGAGGAAACUGUAAUCCAAAUGGACUUAGAUUGCUACACAGUCAAUUUUAAAGAAAUGAGGGAAACUUUAAUAUGGGAAAAACGGAGGCAAAAAAUUUUCGAGAACCUGCUGCUGCUUUACUCCAAUUUCAAUUUCAUAAGUCCUUCUCCCCGUGAUCUUAAUUCGUUAAAUCAAAACUAGUGGAAGUUCAAGCGAGACUUUGUGAAGACUUCUUCCACAAAUGGUCCUAACAAAGAGAGUGCAGAACUUUUAUUCGUUUUCUCAAACCAUGAUGGGUUAAUUAAUAUUACGCACCAUGGAUCCUUGAUAAACUCACCCGAUUGAGGGUGUGGACUAUGAGGCGGAUAUCAAUUAGUGUACAUGAUAACUGCUUUUUAAAAAAAUAAAUGUUCAGUUCUGUACUUUAAAAUAUGCACGUUUGUAUAUGCAAUGGUUUCCUAACAUAUUUUUGCUGCCUAGAAUUUAGAAAUUUUCUAUUUAAAAAAAAACUAUUAAUUCUAAAUUUGUUUAGGCUGCUUUUUGUUUUGGUGUGAAUACGGCAUUACAGAUGAAAAAUACAAAUGCCGACUUUGAUAUUAAAAUUUACUGCUUAAAUGCACCACUUACAAAUGACUGUUAUGAAUUAUAAAUUAUCUGUAUGUCAAAUAAAGAAAAAUAAUACCU